GACGAACGCUGGCGGCGUGCCUAAUACAUGCAAGUCGAACGCUUCUUUCCUCCCGAGUGCUUGCACUCGAUUGGAAAGAGGAGUGGCGGACGGGUGAGUAACACGUGGGUAACCUACCCAUCAGAGGGGGAUAACACUUGGAAACAGGUGCUAAUACCGCAUAACAGUUUAUGCCGCAUGGCAUAAGAGUGAAAGGCGCUUUCGGGUGUCGCUGAUGGAUGGACCCGCGGUGGAUUAGCUAGUUGGUGAGGUAACGGCUCACCAAGGCCACGAUGCAUAGCCGACCUGAGAGGGUGAUCGGCCACACUGGGACUGAGACACGGCCCAGACUCCUACGGGAGGCAGCAGUAGGGAAUCUUCGGCAAUGGACGAAAGUCUGACCGAGCAACGCCGCGUGAGUGAAGAAGGUUUUCGGAUCGUAAAACUCUGUUGUUAGAGAAGAGCAAGGACGUUAGUAACUGAACGUCCCCUGGCGGUAUCUAACCAGAAAGCCACGGCUAACUACGUG
rnacentral:rRNA from 1 species